AGACUCUCGGGCUCUCCAAAAGCGCUUCCCAAGGCCGCAAAUCAGUCCUGAUGUUCAGGCAACUGCGCAUCCGGCCUUGGUGUUAUCCCCUCUGCGGCAAACCGCUGUUCNNNNNNNNNNNNNACCUGGAGUGUAUCCCCGCCCUUGAGAUGGAGAAUUUCGCGGGCUUCAUCGGGAGUGGCGACUUCGAGCCCGAGACCUUCGAUGAUCUUGCGCGCGAGGCGCACCUGCUCCGCAUUUGACUCGGCCAUACGUCCCGGCGCCGCCCAGAGCGAAUCUUCAAGCCCGACGCGGAU
rnacentral:misc_RNA from 1 species